rnacentral:lncRNA from 1 species
GCUUAAAGGACAAACUUAAGAAAAAACUCCCAGAAUCUCUUUAUUUUCUUUUAGAACAGAGAGAUAAAAGUUUGGAGGAAAAGAGGGGAGACAUCAAAGAUAGAUAUAUGGCAACUGUUUGGGUGAGCUUCUUUCUUCGCUGUGACCAUAAGACCUGACGGGAGCAAUUUUAGAAGAGGAAAAGUUUAUUUGGGGCUCACGGUUUGAGAGGUCUCGGUCCACAGAUGGCCGACUCUGUAGCUCUGUGUCCGAGGUGAGGCCGAACAUCUUCUUAAGAAGGGAGAGACAAGAAAAGAAAUGUAGGACAAUCAGAAAACAGAGACAAAGCUCUGCUCAGUAAGGACAAAAUAUAAGCCCCAGAAGGGAUGGCCUCAGCAACCCACACCUCACCUGCCUACAGUUACCACCCAGCUAAUCCCUAUCUGUGGAUCAAUGCACUGAUUGGGUUAAGGCUCUCCUAAGCCAAUCCUUCACCUUUGAACUCUCUUGCAUUGUCUCACGUGAGCUUUGGGGGGACACCUCGUAUCUGAGCCAUAACAACCACCAAAACCAAAGGAUGGAACCCAAAAGCCAAAAUUGUAGCCUUCAGCAGUUGGGCACAGAGUUUAGGAGAACAGACUUCAACACUAGAGAUACCCAGGCUCAACUCUGAGCUGUGGCCCUUUGAACUGUGUGAACUCGGACAACUUGACCUUUCUUUUUCGGGUUCUUGGAUUUUUCUGGAAUGGGUUGGGUUGACUCGUGAGGAUAGUUAGGAAACCAUGUGAAGUAAUGUUUGUAAAAUAAGACUCGUGAGGUUUGAACACAAAUGCUCAAUAAAUGUCACCUGUGAUCGGCUAAAUGGUGUCCCCUAAAAAUCCCUAUGUGGAAACCCUCACGCUC